rnacentral:rRNA from 1 species
UACGUAGGGCGCAAGCGUUGUCCGGAAUUAUUGGGCGUAAAGAGCUCGUAGGCGGUUUGUCGCGUCUGCUGUGAAAACUCGAGGCUCAACCUCGGGCUUGCAGUGGGUACGGGCAGACUAGAGUGCGGUAGGGGUGACUGGAAUUCCUGGUGUAGCGGUGGAAUGCGCAGAUAUCAGGAGGAACACCGAUGGCGAAGGCAGGUCACUGGGCCGCAACUGACGCUGAGGAGCGAAAGCAUGGGGAGCGAAUGGG